AACGAACGCUGGCGGCAGGCCUAACACAUGCAAGUCGAGCGAGGACUUCGGUUCUAGCGGCGGACGGGUGAGUAACGCGUGGGAAUGUGCCCUUCUCUACGGAAUAGCCCUGGGAAACUGGGAGUAAUACCGUAUACGCCCUUUUGGGGAAAGAUUUAUCGGAGAAGGAUCAGCCCGCGUUGGAUUAGGUAGUUGGUGGGGUAAUGGCCUACCAAGCCGACGAUCCAUAGCUGGUUUGAGAGGAUGAUCAGCCACACUGGGACUGAGACACGGCCCAGACUCCUACGGUAGGCAGCAGUGGGGAAUCUUAGACAAUGGGGGCAACCCUGAUCUAGCCAUGCCGCGUGAGUGAUGAAGGCCUUAGGGUUGUAAAGCUCUUUCAGCUGGGAAGAUAAUGACGGUACCAGCAGAAGAAGCCCCGGCUAACUCCGUG
rnacentral:rRNA from 1 species